rnacentral:ncRNA from 1 species
ACAGCACACGGACGCAGAGAUCCUCGGGACACGCAGUAUCGGUCGCCCGCGUACGGCAGGUGGGGUCCUCCCUACCGCCGUCGUGGUCCCGAGGGGAGCGAGUGGCGAGACCGGCCGUGGACACG